UUUUGAAUAAUCUAAUAUUUAAAAAUAACGAACUUUUAGUACAAUAUAUAAUCUAUAUGUUUCCAUUUAAAAUUUAUACACGUAAAUGUAAUAUUCCAAGCUGCAAAGGCCUAAAUUGUCAUUUUGCCACGGCGACAAUUUACUAAUGUACUUUUCCAUGCAAUCCCUAGGUAACAACAUUCAUAUAUACACGAAAAAGCAUAAAUAAUAAUAGGUCUAUACUAGCAGGAUACUGUAUUGUUGUAUAUAAUUAUAAGCUUAAAAUUUCCAUUUCGUCUUCCGCUGCACGAAAGCGAUAAACAUCUGUGAAAUAUGUAUGAAUAUAAAAUGACCGGUUUAAAUUCUGUCGAAGUCUCGAAAAGCAUAUAUUUUGACUAAAGAAUGAUUUCUCAACGGACGAUGCAAUAAUCCGUGUCUGAAGACUAAGACUUAGUUAACUACUUGAAAAAGAUAUCUCAAACGUGGGGCCAUGGUAAUCUUCUUCAAGAAAUGCACACACAAACCACGGCCGUUUGUCUGGCUGAAGAAACUUCGAUAAAGUAAACCAGCUUUAAAUUCAGAGUAACGCUCUUAUCAAGGCCAAUUUAUAUAGUAUGCUUUAAAACGACGACGCAAGUCAACAUAAUAUUGUUUCCGAUUAUCGUCAGGGUUACAAACUCGUUAACAAAAUGGCGAGUCGAGUUGCACCUGCGUGUUGACGCAUGACAACUUUAACAUAUCCUUCCGCUAUAUUGCCUCCAAAUUGACGGUUAACUACCUAAAA